rnacentral:rRNA from 1 species
AUUGAACGCUGGCGGAAUGCUUUACACAUGCAAGUCGAACGGCAGCACGGACUUCGGUCUGGUGGCGAGUGGCGAACGGGUGAGUAAUACAUCGGAACGUGCCCAAUCGUGGGGGAUAACGUAGCGAAAGCUACGCUAAUACCGCAUACGAUCUACGGAUGAAAGCGGGGGACCGUAAGGCCUCGCGCGAUUGGAGCGGCCGAUGUUAGAUUAGGUAGUUGGUGGGGUAAAGGCUCACCAAGCCGACGAUCUAUAGCUGGUCUGAGAGGAUGAUCAGCCACACUGGGACUGAGACACGGCCCAGACUCCUACGGGAGGCAGCAGUGGGGAAUUUUGGACAAUGGGCGCAAGCCUGAUCCAGCCAUUCCGCGUGCAGGACGAAGGCCUUCGGGUUGUAAACUGCUUUUGUACAGAACGAAAAGCUCUGAGUUAAUACCUCGGGGUCAUGACGGUACUGUAAGAAUAAGCACCGGCUAACUACGUG